AGUGAACGCUGGCGGUAGGCCUAACACAUGCAAGUCGAACGGCAGCACAGUAAGAGCUUGCUCUUACGGGUGGCGAGUGGCGGACGGGUGAGGAAUACAUCGGAAUCUACUUUUUCGUGGGGGAUAACGUAGGGAAACUUACGCUAAUACCGCAUACGACCUACGGGUGAAAGCAGGGGAUCUUCGGACCUUGCGCGAUUGAAUGAGCCGAUGUCGGAUUAGCUAGUUGGCGGGGUAAAGGCCCACCAAGGCGACGAUCCGUAGCUGGUCUGAGAGGAUGGUCAGCCACACUGGAACUGAGACACGGUCCAGACUCCUACGGGAGGCAGCAGUGGGGAAUAUUGGACAAUGGGCGCAAGCCUGAUACAGCCAUACCGCGUGGGUGAAGAAGGCCUUCGGGUUGUAAAGCCCUUUUGUUGGGAAAGAAAAGCAGCAGGUUAAUACCCCGCUGUUCUGACGGUACCCAAAGAAUAAGCACCGGCUAACUUCGUG
rnacentral:rRNA from 1 species